rnacentral:rRNA from 1 species
ACGAACGCUGGCGGCGUGCUUAACACAUGCAAGUCGAACGGAAAGGCCUGCUUUCCCUUGUGGAUUGCGGGUACUCGAGUGGCGAACGGGUGAGUAACACGUGAGUGAUCUGCCCCCAACUUGGGUAUAAGCCUGGGAAACUGGGUCUAAUUCCCGAUAGGACUGCAGGGUGGUGCCUGUGGUGGAAAACGAUUUUCUAGUGGUUGGGGAUGAGCUCGCGGCCUAUCAGCUUGUUGGUGGGGUAAUGGCCUACCAAGGCGGCGACGGGUAGCCGGCCUGAGAGGGUGGACGGCCGCAUUGGGACUGAGAUACGGCCCAGACUCCUACGGGAGGCAGCAGUGGGGAAUAUUGCACAAUGGGCGGAAGCCUGAUGCAGCGACGCCGCGUGGGGGAUGACGGCCUUCGGGUUGUAAACUCCUUUCGACCGCGAGGAAGCCACCUGGUUGGAAGGGUGGUGACGGUAGUGGUAGAAGAAGCACCGGCUAACUACGUG